UGGGGAAACCCAGUGUGAUUCGUCACACUAUCAUUAACUGAAUCCAUAGGUUAAUGAGGCGAACCGGGGGAACUGAAACAUCUAAGUACCCCGAGGAAAAGAAAUCAACCGAGAUUCCCCCAGUAGCGGCGAGCGAACGGGGAGCAGCCCAGAGCCUGAAUCAGUGUGUGUGUUAGUGGAAGCGUCUGGAAAGGCGUGCGAUACAGGGUGACAGCCCCGUACACAAAAAUGCACAUAUUGUGAGCUCGAUGAGUAGGGCGGGACACGUGGUAUCCUGUCUGAAUAUGGGGGGACCAUCCUCCAAGGCUAAAUACUCCUGACUGACCGAUAGUGAACCAGUACCGUGAGGGAAAGGCGAAAAGAACCCCGGCGAGGGGAGUGAAAAAGAACCUGAAACCGUGUACGUACAAGCAGUGGGA
rnacentral:rRNA from 1 species